AGAGGAGUGCAACAAUGCAAAAGGCAUUUUGGAACCAAGGAAAUGCAUGUUACAACAAUACCAUCUGAAUGAAAAACUAGAACACAAAUGGUGGCACAAAAUAAAUGGGUCAGGAAGAACAUAAUGAGCCUUAACAAAACAUAAAAAAAAAAAACGUAACGAAAGAGAGAACAAACUUAAGAGUGAACAAAAUGUGGAAAUGGACAAGAAUGGAGGAAGUAGAGAAAGAAUGAUGAAAGUAGAGAAUAAACUUCGAUUGUUUGAAUGAACCAAAGUUUAUUAUCAAACAUUUAGAAUAUAAAUUUCGAU
rnacentral:lncRNA from 1 species